GACGAACGCUGGCGGCGUGCUUAACACAUGCAAGUCGAACGGAAAGGCCCUGCUUUUGUGGGGUGCUCGAGUGGCGAACGGGUGAGUAACACGUGAGUAACCUGCCCUUGACUUUGGGAUAACUUCAGGAAACUGGGGCUAAUACCGGAUAGGAGCUCCUGCUGCAUGGUGGGGGUUGGAAAGUUUCGGCGGUUGGGGAUGGACUCGCGGCUUAUCGGCUUGUUGGUGGGGUAGUGGCUUACCAAGGCUUUGACGGGUAGCCGGCCUGAGAGGGUGACCGGCCACAUUGGGACUGAGAUACGGCCCAGACUGCUACGGGAGGCAGCAGUGGGGAAUAUUGCACAAUGGGCGGAAGCCUGAUGCAGCAACGCCGGGUGCGGGAUGACGGCCUGCGGGGUGUAAACCGCUUUCGCCUGUGACGAAGCGUGAGUGACGGUAAUGGGUAAAGAAGCACCGGCUAACUACGUG
rnacentral:rRNA from 1 species